AGUGAACGCUGGCGGUAGGCCUAACACAUGCAAGUCGAACGGCAGCACAGUAAGAGCUUGCUCUUACGGGUGGCGAGUGGCGGACGGGUGAGGAAUACAUCGGAAUCUACUUUUUCGUGGGGGAUAACGUAGGGAAACUUACGCUAAUACCGCAUACGACCUACGGGUGAAAGCAGGGGAUCUUCGGACCUUGCGCGAUUGAAUGAGCCGAUGUCGGAUUAGCUAGUUGGCGGGGUGAAGGCCCACCAAGGCGACGAUCCGUAGCUGGUCUGAGAGGAUGAUCAGCCACACUGGAACUGAGACACGGUCCAGACUCCUACGGGAGGCAGCAGUGGGGAAUAUUGGACAAUGGGCGCAGGCCUGAUCCAGCCAUACCGCGUGGGUGAAGAAGGCCUUCGGGUUGUAAAGCCCUUUUGUUGGGAAAGAAAAGCAGCAGGUUAAUACCCCGCUGUUCUGACGGUACCCAAAGAAUAAGCACCGGCUAACUUCGUG
rnacentral:rRNA from 1 species